rnacentral:rRNA from 1 species
GACGAACGCUGGCGGCGUGCCUAAUACAUGCAAGUAGAACGCACAGUUUAUACCGUAGCUUGCUACACCAUAGACUGUGAGUUGCGAACGGGUGAGUAACGCGUAGGUAACCUGCCUGGUAGCGGGGGAUAACUAUUGGAAACGAUAGCUAAUACCGCAUAAUAUUAAUUAUUGCAUGAUAAUUAAUUGAAAGGUGCAAUUGCACCACUACCAGAUGGACCUGCGUUGUAUUAGCUAGUAGGUGAGGUAACGGCUCACCUAGGCGACGAUACAUAGCCGACCUGAGAGGGUGAUCGGCCACACUGGGACUGAGACACGGCCCAGACUCCUACGGGAGGCAGCAGUAGGGAAUCUUCGGCAAUGGACGAAAGUCUGACCGAGCAACGCCGCGUGAGUGAAGAAGGUUUUCGAAUCGUAAAGCUCUGUUGUAAGAGAAGAACGGGUGUGAGAGUGGAAAGUUCACACUGUGACGGUAUCUUACCAGAAAGGGACGGCUAACUACGUG